rnacentral:piRNA from 1 species
UAAUUAAAUGCAGGGGGUCUACUGUGGGU